AUUGAACGCUGGCGGCAGGCUUAACACAUGCAAGUCGAGCGGGGUGAUGGUGCUUGCACUAUCACUUAGCGGCGGACGGGUGAGUAAUGCUUAGGAAUCUGCCUAUUAGUGGGGGACAACAUCUCGAAAGGGAUGCUAAUACCGCAUACGUCCUACGGGAGAAAGCAGGGGAUCACUUGUGACCUUGCGCUAAUAGAUGAGCCUAAGUCGGUUUAGCUAGUUGGUGGGGUAAAGGCCUACCAAGGCGACGAUCUAUAGCGGGUCUGAGAGGAUGAUCCGCCACACUGGGACUGAGACACGGUCCAGACUCCUACGGGAGGCAGCAGUGGGGAAUAUUGGACAAUGGGGGGAACCCUGAUCCAGCCAUGCCGCGUGUGUGAAGAAGGCCUUAUGGUUGUAAAGCACUUCAAGCGAGGAGGAGGCUCUUUUGGUUAAUACCCAAGAUGAGUGGACGUUACUCGCAGAAUAAGCACCGGCUAACUCUGUGCCAGCCGCCGCCGUAA
rnacentral:rRNA from 1 species